ACACAUGCAAGUCGAGGGGCAGCAUGAUUGAAGCUUGCUUCAAUUGAUGGCGACCGGCGCACGGGUGAGUAACGCGUAUCCAACCUUCCGUACACUCAGGGAUAGCCUUUCGAAAGAAAGAUUAAUACCUGAUGGUAUGAUGAGAUUGCAUGAUAGCAUCAUUAAAGAUUUAUCGGUGUACGAUGGGGAUGCGUUCCAUUAGGUAGUAGGCGGGGUAACGGCCCACCUAGCCUACGAUGGAUAGGGGUUCUGAGAGGAAGGUCCCCCACAUUGGAACUGAGACACGGUCCAAACUCCUACGGGAGGCAGCAGUGAGGAAUAUUGGUCAAUGGACGAGAGUCUGAACCAGCCAAGUAGCGUGAAGGAUGAAGGUCUUACGGAUUGUAAACUUCUUUUAUAAGGGAAUAAAACCUCCCACGUGUGGGAGCUUGUAUGUACUUUAUGAAUAAGGAUCGGCUAACUCCGUGCCAGCAGCCGCGGUAAUACGGAGGAUCCGAGCGUUAUCCGGAUUUAUUGGGUUUAAAGGGAGCGUA
rnacentral:rRNA from 1 species